rnacentral:rRNA from 1 species
UAGGGAAUCUUCGGCAAUGGACGAAAGUCUGACCGAGCAACGCCGCGUGAGUGAAGAAGGUUUUCGGAUCGUAAAACUCUGUUGGUAGAGAAGAACGUUGGCGAGAGUGGAAAGCUCAUCAGGUGACGGUAACUACCCAGAAAGGGACGGCUAACUACGUGCCAC